GAUGAACGCUGGCGGCGUGCCUAACACAUGCAAGUCGAACGGAGUCCAGCCUUUAAGACCUUCGGGUCAAAGAGGGGAAGACUGAGUGGCGGACGGGUGAGUAACACGUGGGCAACCUGGCUCAUAGAGGGGGAUAACAGAGAGAAAUUUCUGCUAAUACCGCAUAAGCACACCCUGCCGCAUGGCAGAGGGUGAAAAGAGAAUCGCUAUGAGAUGGACCCGCGUCUGAUUAGCCAGUUGGCAGGGUAAGAGCCUACCAAAGCGACGAUCAGUAGCCGAUCUGAGAGGAUGAACGGCCACAUUGGGACUGAGACACGGCCCAAACUCCUACGGGAAGCAGCAGUGGGGGAUAUUGCACAAUGGGGGGAACCCUGAUGCAGCGACGCCGCGUGAGUGAAGAAGUAUUUCGGUAUGUAAAGCUCUAUCAGCAGGGAAGAUAAUGACAGUACCUGAAUAAGAAGCCCCGGCUAACUACGUG
rnacentral:rRNA from 1 species